rnacentral:misc_RNA from 1 species
AGAGUUAAACAGUACGUGAAAUUGUUGAAAGGGAAACGAUUGAAGCCAGUCGUACCGGCGGGAAAUCAACUUCUCGAGUGCUUGUCGUGGGUGGCGUGGAGCUUUACGGCCUUCGUCGCUUGUGUUAUGGUGCUUUUGGGGUGUACUUUACCGUAUGGUAGGUCAACAUCGAUUUUGAUCGUCAUAAAAUGAUCGGAGGAAUGUAGCUUUGGUUUCGAUCGAAGUGUUAUAGACUCUGGUAGAUGUAACGAUCGGGACCGAGGAUUGCAACGGAUACCCUCACGGGCUAUCCGCCUGACCUCUGAUGCGACACCCCGGUGUUGAAAGCUUGCUUAUGAUAUCGGAGCGAUCGUUCAAAAGGUUAGAGCGGGUUAAAUUCGUUAAGGACGCUGACGUAAUGGCUUUAAACGA